rnacentral:rRNA from 1 species
CUAGCGACUUCAGAGUUUGAUCCUGGCUCAGGAUGAACGCUAGCGACAGGCUUAACACAUGCAAGUCGAGGGGCAGCGAGAAAGUGCUUGCACUUUUGUCGGCGACCGGCGCACGGGUGAGUAACACGUAUGCAACCUGCCCUUGUCAGGGGGAUAAGCGGGGGAAACCCCGUCUAAUACCGCAUAUAUGGUUUGGAGGCAUCUCUAAAUCAGGAAAGAAUUAUCGGACAAGGAUGGGCAUGCGGGACAUUAGGUAGUUGGGGGUGUAACGGACCACCAAGCCGACGAUGUCUAGGGGUUCUGAGAGGAAGGUCCCCCACACUGGUACUGAGACACGGACCAG